rnacentral:lncRNA from 1 species
UCAUGCCUGUAAUCCCAGCACUUUGGGAGACCGAGGUGAACAGAUCACUUGAGGUCAGGAGUUCGAGGCCAGCCUGGCCAACAUGGCGAAAUCCUGUCUCUACUAAAAAUAUAAAUAUUAGCUGGGUGUGAUGGUGCACGCCUGCUGUAAUCCCAGCUACUUGGGAGGCUGAGGCACAAGAAUUGCUUGAACCCAGGAGGCAGAGCUUGCAAUGAGCCAAGAUCCCGCCACUGCACUCCAGCCUGGGUGACAGAGUGAGGCUCCGUCUAAAACA